CCUACGGGGGGCAGCAGUGAGGAAUAUUGGUCAAUGGGCGGAAGCCUGAACCAGCCAAGUCGCGUGAGGGAAUAAGGCCCUACGGGUCGUAAACCUCUUUUGCCGGGGAGCAAGGGCGGGGACGUGUCCCGGCCCGGAGAGUACCCGGAGAAAAAGCAUCGGCUAACUCCGUUCCAGCCGCCGCGGUAAUACGGAGGAUGCGAGCGUUAUCCGGAUUGAUUGGGUUUAAGGGGUGCGUAGGCGAGCUUUGAAGGCAGCGGUAAAAUUUCGGGGCUCAACCCCGUCCGGCCGUUGAAACUGGGGAGCUUGAGUGGGUGAGAAGAAGGCGGAAUGCGUGGUGUAGCGGUGAAAUGCAUAGAUAUCACGCAGAACCCCGAUUGCGAAGGCAGCCUUCCGGCGCCCUACUGACGCUGAGGCACGAAAGUGCGGGGAUCGAACAGGAUUAGAUACCCCAGUAGUC
rnacentral:rRNA from 1 species